AUUUAGGUAAUUUAAAAUUUAGAAUAAUAAUUUGUGGUAUUAUAAGUGCUUAAAUAAAGCCCUAGGUU
rnacentral:tRNA from 1 species